rnacentral:rRNA from 1 species
UACGUAGGGUGCGAGCGUUAAUCGGAAUUACUGGGCGUAAAGCGUGCGUAGGCGGUCCGCGAAGUCUGAUGUGAAAGCCCCGGGCUCAACCUGGGAACUGCAUUGUAAACUGACGGGCUCGAGUGUGGCAGAGGGGGGUGGAAUUCCACGUGUAGCAGUGAAAUGCGUAGAGAUGUGGAGGAACACCGAUGGCGAAGGCAGCCCCCUGGGCUAACACUGACGCUCAGGCACGAAAGCGUGGGGAGCAAACAGG